UUAUGCCUACGGGAGGCAGCAGUGGGGGAUAUUGGACAAUGGGGGAAACCCUGAUCCAGCGAUGCCGCGUGAGGGAAGAAGGUUUUCGGAUUGUAAACCUCUGUGGAGGGGGACGAUAAUGACGGCACCCCUUUAGGAAGCCACGGCUAACUACGUGCCAGCAGCCGCGGUAAUACGUAGGUGGCGAGCGUUGUCCGGAAUUACUGGGGGUAAAGGGAGUGUAGGCGGCCUGCUAAGUCUGAAGUGAAAGGUACCGGCUCAACCGGUACAGGCCC
rnacentral:rRNA from 1 species